rnacentral:lncRNA from 1 species
GAAUGAGCAUCCUUCCUUCUUGCUGUAAGAAGGAAAUCCUUGAUUUCAUGGAUUUGCUUCGGCUGUGAUUAGAAAAGCAAAGCAAAUUGCAUAGCUCGGGUGUUAAAAAAUUUCUAAUGAGAAGUUGGAAAAAAGAGACCAUCACAUGUAUGAGAUUGCCAGGAACUACAGAAAAGAAAUAGCAUUUGUUUAGUAAAAUCACAGGAAAGCCAUCAGAUAAUAUGCUUUGGAUAACAGCUUCUAACUACAGAAGCAACUUAAAUGCAGCUCUCAAACAAAUUUAUCUGACAUCAAAGCUAAUUUCAGCUGAACACAGCAAAUCAGGUUAGUAAGUCAAAUCAUAUUCUUUUCAGACAACUUAAACUGGGAAAACCUUAAAACAUGAAGUUUAUUUUUCUUCUCGACCCAAAAACUUUAUCAGCAAAGAAGCAUACAGAUCCUAAAAGUAAAAGCAAGAAAAUCAUACACUUCUAUUUUACAUUUCCUUUCAAUUCUUGCAACUUUCUAGGAAACCAAAAAGAGAAAUCAUGUAAAAUAAAUAUAUGAAUAAACAGUUUAAGGGACGUUACCA